CCUACGGGGGGCAGCAGUGGGGGAUAUUGCACAAUGGGGGAAACCCUGAUGCAGCGACGCCGCGUGUGGGAAGACGGUCUUCUGGAUUGUAAACCACUGUCCCCAGGGACGAAAAUGACGGUACCUGGGGAGGAAGCUCCGGCUAACUACGUGCCAGCAGCCGCGGUAAUACGUAGGGAGCAAGCGUUGUCCGGAAUUACUGGGUGUAAAGGGAGCGUAGGCGGGGAUGCAAGUUGGGUGUCAAAACUACCGGCUCAACCGAUAGUCGCACUCAAAACUGCAACUCUUGAGUGAAGUAGAGGCAGGCGGAAUUCCGAGUGUAGCGGUGAAAUGCGUAGAUAUUAGGAGGAACACCAGUGGCGAAAGCGGCCUGCUGGGCUUUUACUGACGCUGAGGCUCGAAAGUGUGGGGAGCAAACAGGAUUAGAUACCCUAGUAGUC
rnacentral:rRNA from 1 species